rnacentral:rRNA from 1 species
UGGUGGGUAGUUUGACUGGGGCGGUCUCCUCCCAAAGAGUAACGGAGGAGCACGAAGGUUAGCUAAUCCUGGUCGGACAUCAGGAGGUUAGUGCAAUGGCAUAAGCUAGCUUGACUGCGAGAGUGACGGCUCGAGCAGGUGCGAAAGCAGGUCAUAGUGAUCCGGUGGUUCUGAAUGGAAGGGCCAUCGCUCAACGGAUAAAAGGUACUCCGGGGAUAACAGGCUGAUACCGCCCAAGAGUUCAUAUCGACGGCGGUGUUUGGCACCUCGAUGUCGGCUCAUCACAUCCUGGGGCUGAAGUAGGUCCCAAGGGUAUGGCUGUUCGCCAUUUAAAGUGGUACGCGAGCUGGGUUUAGAACGUCGUGAGACAGUUCGGUCCCUAUCUGCCGUGGGCGCUGGAGAAUUGAGGGGGGCUGCUCCUAGUACGAGAGGACCGGAGUGGACGCAUCACUGGUGUUCGGGUUGUCAUGCCAAUGGCACUGCCCGGUAGCUAAAUGCGGAAGAGAUAAGUGCUGAAAGCAUCUAAGCACGAAACUUGCCCCGAGAUGAGUUCUCCCUGAGACUUUAAGUCUCCUGAAGGAACGUUGAAGACGACGACGUUGAUAGGCCGGGUGUGUAAGCGCAGCGAUGCGUUGAGCUAACCGGUACUAAUGAACCGUGAGGCUUAACCUU